AGAUGAACAUAAUGUAAACCAUACCUUGAAGAUAAUUUCGACAAUGACCGGAGAGAAGUGGCCGGCCGGAUUAGAAGAAGGCUUCAACCUAAAAUAAAUUUAACAUAGAAAUUAAAUUUCACUAAAUUAACACUACAUAAACACCAAUAAAUACUACAAACAGUACAUAUAUCAUAUUAAAAUGAAACAGAAUUCCAAAAUUUAACUAUAUAUCAUUUUGGCAGGCAGAUCAUGUGCUAUGCAUAACUGCUGCUACUUUCGAAAUUCCAAAAUUGGAUCGUAUUAUUGAAGACCAUAGUGUAGUGUAUAGAACAAUAAGAAUGGUAAAUACAAGUUAUAUAGAAGCAUCAAAGAAAAAUCACGUUAAUUUAACCAAAUAUGCACAACUUGAUUUCAUUUUUCCAUACCUCACAUAUCAAAAAAACAUUUACAAACAUCAUUUUAAAUCCCAAUCAACCAAAAAUCCUAUUCAAAGCAAAAAUAAAUUCCAAUUCAAAGCAAAAAAACUUCAUUUUGUUGCUCUUACCUAUUCAAAGCAAAUCCUACAUUUUGUCCCACAUCGAUUUGCAUGAAUACGAAAAUUAAAAUCAACUUCAUUUUCAUUUUUACAUCAAAACAAUGUACCACACUUGAUUUUACAUGCUGUCAUAACAUUAAUAUUAUAAUGGAAUUGAUUUGCUAAACAAAAAAACUACAUCCUGAUUGCAACCAUUACAUACAUAAAAACAUGCACAAAUAUCACGUCAAUUCCAUCAAAACAUGCACAACUUUAAAAGGAAUUUCAAUACCUAAUUCUGUCUACAAAUUAAAAAUGAAUUUCAAUCACAUAUCGAAAUAUAUCCCACCUCUGUUCCACAUACUAAUUUCAAGCACAUAUCAAAACAUCAUUUUAAAUCCUAAUCAACCAUAAAUCAUAAUCAAAGAAAAACUAAAAUCUACAUUCAGUGAUUAAAAUCCUAAUGAAAUAAAACCAAAAAUCCUAAUCAAACUAAAACCAAAAAUCUCUCUUUCAUCAUCAUCAAAAAAAAAUACUCUGUCUACAUUCAUCAUCAUCAAAACUACAUUCAUUUAAGUCGGAUUCUAGCCAUUACAUAGAUUGCAAAAAAAAAAAUCACAAUUAAAAUCAAAACAGUACAUAUAUUACAAAUAAAGUCAAUUAACUAAAUCAAAUAUAAUUAACUAACUAACUAAAUCAAAUAUAAUCAAAACAGUACAUAAGUCAAUUAAUUAACUAACUAUAAUUAACUAAAAUAAACAAAACUAAAUCAAAGCACCAAUAUCAAAACCCCUAAAUAAAACCCCCAAUAUCAAAACCCUUAAAAAGAGUAAAUCACAAUUACUAACCCCACAUCACAAAUUCCCAUCACAAAUUCACAAUGCAUGAUUUUUUUUUUAAAAUCAAAAGACAAAUCAUUGGAAAGUAUGAUUUAAAAUCAUAAACCCCCAAAUCACAAAUCAAAAGACAAAAUUAAUAUAAUUUAUAAAAACAGUAAAACCCUAAUCUAAAUUAACUAAAAUCAGUAAAUGAUAAAAAUAAACUAAAAACAGUAAAUAAACCCCCCUAAAUAACAUCAGUAAAUAAACUAAAUAAAAACCAACAAAUAAUAAACCUAACAUCAAUAAAUCAAACCUAAAUCAAACCCUAAAAUCUAACUACAAUAAAUCAACCUAACAUCUAACCAUAAAAUCAAACCCCAAAUACAUAUAUAAGCCCCCAAAUAAUAAAUACAUAAACCCUAAAUGUCAUAAACCCACAAAUACAUGAACCCCAAUGUCAUACAACCAUAACCCCCUAAUUUAAUCAAAUAACAUACAUCAAAUGAAGAACAAAAUAGAAAAUGUAGAAGAAUAGAAAAAGAUAAUAUAAAAUAUAAUAAGAUAAGGAGAAGAUGAAGAAGUAGAACAUGAAGAUGAAGAUCAAGAAGGGGAGAUUAUUACCUUGGGGAGGAAUGGCCGGAGUGCUCAAUCAAACGCCCUUGGGGAGAACUUUCGAAACCUUGGGAGAGUUUGGGAGAGUUUGGAGAGUUUGGAAAAGUGAGGAAACCGUUGGGAGAAAUGAGAAAAGUCUGGAAAUUUUUUUCUUAUAUAAAAAUUUCCCGGCGGCCUGGCCGCCGGGAAAUACUUAAGUUUCGUUUGACU
rnacentral:lncRNA from 1 species